AGCGUAAUAGCUCACUAGUCGAGUCGGCCUGCGCGGAAGAUGUAACGGGGCUAAAACUAUGUGCCGAAGCUGCGGAUUUGACAUUAGUCAAGUGGUAGGGGAGCGUUCUGUAAGCCGAUGAAGGUGUAUUGAGAAGUANAUGCUGGAGGUAUCAGAAGUGCGAAUGCUGACGUGAGUAACGACAAAACGGGUGAAAAACCCGUUCGCCGAAAGACCAAGGGUUCCAGUCCAACGUUAAUCGGGGCUGGGUGAGUCGACCCCUAAGGCGAGGCCGAAAGGCGUAGUCGAUGGGAAAAUGGUUAAUAUUCCAUUACUUCUGUGUAAUGCGAUGAGAGGACGGAGAAGGCUAAAUCAGCCUGGCGUUGGUUGUCCAGGUGAAAGGAUGUAGGCAUGUAUCUUAGGCAAAUCCGGGGUACUCUAUGCUGAGAUCUGAUAGCAAGCUGUACUUGUACAGCGAAGUGGUUGAUGCCAUGCUUCCAGGAAAAGUCUCUAAGCUUCAGUUACACAGGAAUCGUACCCGAAACCGACACAGGUGGUCAGGUCGAGUAGACCAAGGCGCUUGAGAGAACUCUGCUGAAGGAACUAGGCAAAAUGGUACCGUAACUUCGGGAGAAGGUACGCUGUUGUUGGUGAUGGAACUCGCUUCCUGAGCUGACGACAGCCGCAGAAACCAGGCCGCUGCAACUGUUUAUUAAAAACAUAGCACUCUGCAAACACGAAAGUGGACGUAUAGGGUGUGAUGCCUGCCCGGUGCUGGAAGGUUAAUUGAUGGGGUUAGCGUAAGCGAAGCUCUUGAUCGAAGCCCCAGUAAACGGCGGCCGUAACUAUAACGGUCCUAAGGUAGCGAAAUUCCUUGUCGGGUAAGUUCCGACCUGCACGAAUGGCAUAAUGAUGGCGGCGCUGUCUCCAGCAGAGGCUCAGUGAAAUCGAAAUCGCUGUGAAGAUGCAGUGUACCCGCGGCUAGACGGAAAGACCCCGUGAACCUUUACUGCAGCUUGACACUGAACUUUGACCUUACUUGUGUAGGAUAGGUGGGAGGCUUUGAAGCUGGAACGCUAGUUCCAGUGGAGCCGUCCUUGAAAUACCACCCUGGUAAUGUUGAGGUUCUAACUCUGUCCCGUGAUCCGGGACGAGGACCGUGUCUGGUGGGUAGUUUGACUGGGGCGGUCUCCUCCUAAAGAGUAACGGAGGAGUACGAAGGUGCGCUCAGCGUGGUCGGAAAUCACGCGUAGAGUAUAAAGGCAAAAGCGCGCUUAACUGCGAGACCCACAAGUCGAGCAGGUACGAAAGUAGGUCUUAGUGAUCCGGUGGUUCUGUAUGGAAGGGCCAUCGCUCAACGGAUAAAAGGUACUCUGGGGAUAACAGGCUGAUACCGCCCAAGAGUUCAUAUCGACGGCGGUGUUUGGCACCUCGAUGUCGGCUCAUCUCAUCCUGGGGCUGAAGCAGGUCCCAAGGGUAUGGCUGUUCGCCAUUUAAAGAGGUACGCGAGCUGGGUUUAGAACGUCGUGAGACAGUUCGGUCCCUAUCUACCGUGGGCGCUGGAAAUUUGAGAGGAUCUGCUCCUAGUACGAGAGGACCAGAGUGGACGAACCUCUGGUGUACCGGUUGUGACGCCAGUCGCAUCGCCGGGUAGCUAUGUUCGGAAGGGAUAACCGCUGAAAGCAUCUAAGCGGGAAGCCUACCUCAAGAUAAGAUUUCCCUAGGACUUUAUGUCCUCUAAAGAGCCGUUCGAGACUAGGACGUUGAUAGGUUGGAUGUGGAAGCAUAGUGAUAUGUGAAGCUGACCAAUACUAAUUGCUCGUGAGGCUUGACUAUACAACACCCAAGCAGUUG
rnacentral:rRNA from 1 species